rnacentral:lncRNA from 1 species
UGGAUUGUGUUAUGAAUUCUUAGAUCCCUCUUGUUAUUGAUUUUUCUAUCUUUUUAUAUAAUCGGAACUCAUCCGCUUCUAGUUUUAUUGUCUUCUGGUUUGCUAGGCUAAUGGGGUGGUCUCCGAUCCUUGACAAACUUGAGAUACCCAUCACAACUAGGCCCUAGUUUGGGUCGUGACAUUCUCAUAUAAGAAAUCUAAAUUCUUG